UACACCGCUCUGGACCUUCAUCCCAAUAACUUCAUCCUUCCUCCCUGAUAUUUGGAAAUACUCAGGAUCAGGUUUGCACCUGCCCCCCUGCUUUAGGGAUGGUAUAGGCAUUUUGGGUGGUGUUUGGAUGCCAGUGACUCCGGUAUCUCUGCUGGACCCUUUAAGCAUCAGAGCCAAGCACCCCUUGCAGCUGUGUCCAGGUGAGGGCUCUUCCCCUUAAAAGCUCCUGGCUCCAGCCAAGGCAGAGCUGCUCUAGGAUUUCUUGUGUGAAUUUGCCCUUGCUUUCCUCUUGGAGCUCCCUGUGAGACAGGGUUUGGCCACAGCUGGUGACAAGCAAACUAGGAACCCAACAGAUUUAUUUGGAUGUGUGAAAGACCUCUGCCCAUACUUUAGGAAUACUUAGGCCCCAAUUCUUCUGAAACAUCUUGGUUCAAGAGGAUUCAACCCAAAAAGCAUCAGGCAUAUAAGUGAGUGCUGGAUAUUAGUGCGAAGUCACACUUCCAGGAAGCCUCCAAGUAAUCAGAGGUGCAGAGCUGAAAUGACACAGUGAUUUUUUGUGACUGCAAGACCUAAGAACCAAAAAGGGGGCGAGAUGGGCAGCUUGCAAUCUCGAAGCACAUCUUGAAGUGCUUGUCAAAACGGAGUCAAAAUUGACUUCUGAAGGUCAUGCAGGUGUCAGAGGGUUUGUCCACAGUGAAUCCAUCUGUGUCAGCCUGAGGCUGA